UAUAUAUUUUAAAAAUAUAAUUUUUGUUAAAAAGCGGGCUCAGAUAAAAUUCAAAGAAAUUAUAAAGAUUUCAUCAUUACCCGAAUUUAUUCAUUUUUAUUAUGUAUUUGUAUACGUAAUAUCCGUCUUUUUAUUUGUGGAGGCCUCAAAAAUUGAUGGAGAAUUUCUUCAUCGUCCAAAUGCAUUAAUCCGUAUAAACAAGAUAACACGUUAAAGUACAAAAUACAUAAAAACCAAUUCACAAAAGAAAAUACAAAAUGAUUACUAAAAUAUAUAAAGAUCACAUUCAUACCAAGAUAAAAGUCAAUUAAAAAAAAAUUAAUAUCAACUUAAAUGAAACAAUGCCAAAAUAACUUUUUUAAAUACUUAAAAUAACAUCAAAACCACUUAGGACUCUAAAUAUCAAUGUUUGAUAACGAUACAAACCAACAAAACAAAAUGUGAAUAUUAAAAAUAUUAAUAAAUCAAACCCAACAAACAUACACCAUGACAAAAUGUUCACGAAAUAGAGAUGAAUAAGUUCAACGAAAAUAGAUCGAGAAAUCACGAAAAAGCUAGAAACAAUAAUAAUUAACACUCAUUUGAAUAAUAUUAGAAACAAACUAAUCAAUAACAAGAUAACAAAAGUAGUCAGCAUCAAAUAAUAUCAACAAAAUUGAUGAAGUCACCGGAAGAGCUAACUAUUUUACCGGAGCUAAAGCUCGUUGUUUGUUGUUAAUGGCAUUUUCGGCCAGAUCUGAGUAAAUUAAAUGGGUAACACAUAUAAAUGAACUCAUUAGAGGAGAAAAUCUGAAGCGGUGGUGGCCAUUAUUCCAAAACAAAUAAUAAAAUAGAGAGGCAGGGGAGAGGAUGAUUGGCGGCGGCGCUGCUCAACGGCUUGGCCAGACCAACACAUGAGACAAUAAAGAUUUCUGCCAGAUCUGAUCGAUUUCAGGGGCCUCAUGGUAUAGUAGUUGAGAGAGAAACAAGAGCAGAUCGUGGAGGUGGUAAUGUCCUCCGGCGAGACUUCAUCCAAGUAGAAGCAGUGACGGUGGAGCUGUGGUGGAGAAGAAUUCUCCGACUCUUUCAAUAAAAAGAAUGAGAGGAAAAGAAGAGAAAAUAUGAUUGUUUUAGUUUUUUGGUAUAGAUAUACGGUGGUGUGUAUAUUUUGUUUGAUAAAAAUAUAUCCCUUCCCUUCUUUUAUAAUAUAACAUAACACAUCUUUUUACCCAAAAAGUAAAUAAUUAAACUCUCUUGUUUCUUUAAUCGAUAAAUUAAUUCACGGGGUAUUGCCUAAUGGUUUUUUAUUCCUUUAACUAAUGUGUAAAGACUUUUAAUCCAAUGAAUAAAAACAUCAGCCCGUCAUUUCAAAUGUCAUCUUUUAAAAAAGUUGACAUGAUCUUGACUGAUUUAUUACUCUAUGUAUUAAAAUAAUUAAUUCAACUUAUAUUUACAGAUCGUAUUAAAUAAUGUACAAACAUAUAAAUGUCGAUGUAUAAUUAUAGAAAAAAUAUAAACAACAAAUAAGAAAAUAUAAUUAUCUUAAAAAAUAUAUUAUGCUAUAAAUAAUUAAAAUUAUAUUGCGCGGUAAAGAAUUGCUGUGCUAUGGUAUGUACGUAUGCGGAUGACUGCAAAAAAUUUAAAUAUAAUAAUAAACUGAUAAAAAUUCUAAAAUUUAUGAAAUUAAAGAUAAUUAUUAAUAAAUUAUGUAAAAUUAAAAUAUGACAAUAAAUGAGUAAAAAUCCUAAAAUAAUGAUGAUUAUCAAUAAUUUAUUAACAAUUGCAAAAAAUAUGUGAAAAAUUGCAUUUUGUGAUAUUUAAUGAAAAUAGAGCCUAAAUGCAUUAAUUUUAAGUUUGGUGAGCAAAAAUUGGGUGUCAAUAAAGCCAGCAUAGGCCGCCUGCGUAUCUCAUUCUUGAGAAUUUAGGUCAAACGUAGUUCGUACAUAAGAGGAAAGGUAAAUUCUCCCAAGGGGUUGACCGAAACCGUCAUAGGCCGUGUAUGUUUCUCAUCUUGAGAAUUCAGGUAAGACAUAGUUCGUACAUAAGAGGCAAGGUAAAUUCUCCUAAGGGGUUGACCGAAGCCAACAUGGGCCUCCUACGUAUCCCUUUCUUGGGAAUUCAGGUCAAAUGUAGUUCGUACAUAAAAGAAAAGGGAUUCUAGGCAAUUAAACAUCAUAAAAACAAAUACUAUAUAAAGGCGAUUACAAAUAAAUGAAGGAAACAAGAGCAAAAAAAUAUUCUUCAAACAUAGUUUCUCUGUACCGCAUCAGAAUUGAUUGGUUUGGUCAACUCUUGACCAUCCAUCUCAGAUAGGAUCAAUGCUCUUCUAGAUAGCACCUUUCAUUCAUUAUUAUUCACCUCGCUUUGUUCAUUUAGCCCUUGACAUGACAUGAUAUUGGCAGGUUUUAAACUAUUAUUACCGAAAUAAACCAGCAAACCAAGUUAGAUGAUAAUAAGAUAAUAAAAUAUAAUCACAUUUCAAAAUAACUUCUUAGAUAAUGGGAGGACUUUUAAUUUAAAUAUGGGAAGUAUUUACAAAAUAUGGUUCGUGACUCUCACAAAUACAGGCCCAUUCCUUUUGAAAACAAUAAAACUCGAAAAGGAAAUUUGAGAGAUGCGGGCCUCCUCUGGAUCAUCACUGAUUUUUAAAACAACUAGUAAUUUCCUUUAUCUACCCCGACGGGCGACGAGUCAUGAGAAGAGUGGAGGUCCAAUCUUGAAAAUCCUCUUCGAAUGCGACCUUCCUCACUCCACCAGUUACUGGAAAAUUUUCUAAUAAAGCAUUGCAUCCUUCGAACAAAUUUCCUAUCCUAUCCCUGUGAUACCCUGUAGUUGUAACACUCUUUUAAUGUCUCUAAAAUGACCUCUAGGACCCCUGUAGUUAUAGUAGAUCAUGUGUUAACAUUGUGGGAGGUGUUGGGGGUGUUCUAGGACCUCAAAACUAAGUAGGCAUCGCAAAAUAGAGCUUAGGCGAUGGCUAGGCAUCACAUUACCAUCGCCUACCUUCACUAGAAAGGUUUGACCAUGGUUUAGGUGCCACCAACCUUGGGUUUGGCCAUGGAUAAGGUGUCGCCAACCUUGGGUUGGCCAUGGGUUAAGCGCCGUAAACCUUGGGUUUGGCCAUGGGCUAGGUGCUGCCUACCCUAUAUUUUGCGGUGUAGGGGCUCUGUUUAUGAGUUAAUUUAAGGGCAACACAGUAUUUUUUUAUCCUAUAACCAUCCCUAAACAUACUUACACGAAAUCAAAUUCCCUAAAUACGUUUUAACACUCUCAAAUCCCUAGUUUAUCUUCCAAAAACAUAAGAAGAGAAAAACAACUUAGGGUUUGGACAUUUAAGCUUAAAGGGCCAAUUUUCUUCACGAUUUCUUCAUUGUUAAGGUACGUGGGGCUAUCCUAACUCUCAUGGGCAUAUGUUUUAUGAUUUCUACAAACUUUGAAGAUAUAUAUAUACACGUUUAUGAUAUUGGUUUUGGUAAAUUAUUUCAAGCAUUGUGAAACCAAUUUGAUCAAAUUAUGUUAUUGUUAUGGGGUUUUUCCAUGAGUUUGAUUUAUAAUCUCAUGCACGUGUAAUUUGAGUUUGAAAAGUGAUUUAUGAAUGUGAUUUGUGGAAUUCCCUUCCCCAUGAUCAAAUUUAUGGACCUUGCAUGAUAUAUAUUAUGAUUUUUUUUCGAGAGCAUAACUUAAGAGCCACUUUUAAAUCAUGAGAUUUGUGUAUAAAUAAAUGCUGAUACUUAUUUAUGAAUGAUUAUAUUUCUCAAGUUAUAAAUGCCUCCAUAUUAGUUAUGCUUUGUUAUUUUACAUGUUUUCAAAGAGGUGAUUCUUAUUCCAAAGGCUCUUGUGUCCUAAUGAAGAAAUUACAUGUGAUUAAUGAGUGAAUUGUCCACUAUAUGAUUAAGUCUUGAAAAGAGAGUGGGUUUGCACAUGUUUUUGAAAUAAUAACUCUCUUGUGAUUUGAUAAAAUCUUUAGGUGGUCAUAUGCAUAUUUUGAAUGAGAAGGGCGGAUAUGAUCUGGUGUGAAAUGAAUGACUUGCAAGUCUGGGUAUGGCGAUACCCUGUUAUGAUAUGCCUUUAAUAGAAUGAGAAAGAUUUGUUUAUAAGCAUUAAAUAUCUUUUUAAGAGGCUAAAACUGGGCUUAUAGAGAGUUAGAUAGUUAUCCAAAGAAAGCACAAGUUAAAAGACUCUAUGCUGUAAACCGUGAUUUGCCGGCACGGGACUUUAGUACCCUGCUAUGUGAUCUUGUGUACCUUGAAUUAUGUCGUCCCAUUUUGGGACCAUGGUUAGAAGUAUUGCUUUGUGAUCUUGUGCCCAACCAUGACAUAUUGAUUUGAUUUGGGGAUUUUGGCACCCUGUUGUGUGAUAUUGCGUGUCCCCCUUACUGAUACUCCAAUCCUUGUGGCAAAUUUGGAUUGGGGGCUUAGUCGCCGAGUCAAGAACGGGUUUCAUAUAGCCCGUGGAAUUUUAAACUUGAAGGGUGUACCAUCUAGCUCAGAAGUAAAAUAAAGAAUUAAGUCAUGAUUCCAAGAAAAUGUUUUGAGGCUCAUCACAUUAUGCCCAUGUGUUUUCUAAUAUUUUCUACCAAUAUGUUUUUAUGAAAUGCUCUCACCUAUGUUGCGUAAAAGUAUAUUUUGUUUUUGGAUUGUUUUACAUACUAGUACAUUUAUAUUGACCCCCUAUAUUUCAGGUUCUGAAGCCCAGUCUAGCAGUCCUUCUAAACAAUAGAUUGUUGUCAGACAUUCAGAGUUGGUGAGCCUCCAUUAUUAUGGAAGGCCUUGUUUCAUGUGAUGAUUUCAGUUGGUUUAGUUCAUGGUCCGAUUGGGGGCCUUGUCCCAGUUUCAUACAGAUGUUGUUUUCAUCCUUUAGUAAAGAUUAUGCAGAUGUGUAUUAAUGGUUUUGGGUCUUGUUGAACUUAUGCCCGUAUUAUUUAGUAGAUAUAAUAAGAUGACCAUGUUUCCAUUUGUUUUCUGCAUUCUUUAUAAUAUGUGAAUGUUGCAUAUGAUUACCAGAUAGAAGGGCUCUCAGGCCUUCAUGGUUCAGGAUGCCCAUUACAUCCAGGGCCUCGGUUUGGGUCGUAACAAACUUGGUAAUAGAGCACGAUUCAUGGUCCCAGGGUGCCUGCAAAGUCGUGUUGGGUAGAGUCCUUUUUAUGGGUGUGUAACGCACCACAUUUAUAAGGAGGAAGCUACUAGGCAUUUAGGAAUGUUUCACUUUUCUUCAUGUUCUAGAUUGUGCCAUUAGGAUAGUUAUAACUCGAGGGUAUUAAAAUAUCUCCCCCUUGGGACAGUUCGUCCCCCGAAUGAUACUGAUUUGGCUGAAAUACUAAGAAAAAACUAAGAUGAUGCACGGGACACUUAUGAACUGAAUCAUGACAAAAUAUCUGAAAUCCAAAACAUGAUGCAUGGACUAAAUUGGAUUUGCAAUUUAUAUUGCAAAUAUUUUACCUCAUGGAAUAGAUAUAUUCAUGAAACUUUAGAUAGUAAGGCAAGGCUAGAUCGGAAAAUAGAAAACACUAGGAACUUGUCGUCUGACUGCUAGGCUGGAUUGCUGGCUAUAUGGACUAUCUCAUACUGAAAUCUUAUACUCAACUAGAGUAUUUCUCCAAUGUUAUUUAUAAGAAGUUCUAAUAAUGUUAGAGAGCAGAGGAUCUUGGGCACGGUCUGAAUAAGAUAUCUGAAGAAGAAGUCACAAUAUGGCUAAAAUUCUGUAACAUAGAACAUAGGCCUACAAAACAUAAGCUAGGAUAGAAUUUCUAUGCUUAGACCAUGCAACUGCUGUUUUCAAGCUUAGACAUACUCCUCAAAUACUCUCUUAACUAUACCUUCUACUUCACUACUACAUUUCUUCUGAGGCUAUUAAAGAUAUUCGCAUGAGCAUUGAUAACUCUACCUACUGAAGUCUGAGCUGAACUGAAUCCUCUUACUCUGUUCAAGCCUACUUGAAUCUACAAAAUACACGCAUAACCACAUAAUACUAGUCUGAAUCAUGAAUUUAAUACACCCUGCAUUUUUAUAACUUCUCACCUUAUGAAUAAUUAUUACACUUCAGUAGCUACAUUCAACCUCUUACUAGACAUUCACUCAAGUGCAAUGCAUUCAUCCACACAUAUACAAACAUGACAUUUAAGCCUAUCUUCAUAACCACAUAUGCUCUUCUAGAGAAACACCCAUAAAAACAUCUUUCUCAUAUCCUACAAACCUCUAUCAUUAACACCUUCCAUGCACUACCCUAAGAAAACAAACAAAAUUUUAACUAACCAUGUCGUGACUGAAGGCUGGAAAUUAAGGAGGCCGUGAUGGAGCACGCGCCACAGGCUCUGGUCCGCCGUACUGGAGCAUGCGCCACGGGCCUUGGUCUGCUGGACUGGAGCAUGUACCACGGACUCUUCUACAGGCAUCCCUACCAGUGGACUGGGGUGCGCAAUGCGGGUUUAUCUGUAAUGCCCCAAAAAUAGGUCCCGAGAUGUCACACGGUGCUUGGGGUCACAUAUGAUCCCAAGCUAACCCUUCUACUAGCAUACUUACAAGCAACUGAAUAGAAUACAUAAAUCUAAAAAAAAUUAGUGAAAACAUAAAACUUCCCUAAAUUUGAGCAAUACAAAAUCUGAGUUUACCAAAUUACAUCUCUGUUUCUACGAAUACAACUGAAAUAACAUACAUCGAUACUACUGACUGUCUAUGAAACCUCUACUAGUACUGACUAUAGAUAGCCGGGUCAUGACUCUCAACUAUCCCAAUUAAAUAUGUAUGAAUAAAGAAAAUACAAUACUUCUCAAACUGUAUAAUUGACUCGAGCCCUUGGAUCAGAAGGACUCAUCACUUGUUGAGUAGGAGCUGUGAACUGAUUAAAUAUGGUUUAUGUGCUACAACUUGUACCUACAUUAUGAGACAAUAUAGCAUAUAAACAUAUAUGUGGAUCAGUACUUUGAGGAUGUACUCAGUAUAUGAGGGUGCAUGCAAUAAGUAAAAUCAUAUCUCAAUAUCAUCAUUUAUAAAAUCAUGCAUGCUAAAUGUAAACGACUUACAUAGCUUGAGUAAAUCUGAAAUCUAAAACUCAUAAUUUGUGAAUAGUAAAGCAUGCAGUAUAAAUCUCGUGAGUCAUUAUACUUAGUUUUAAGAUAUGUGUUUCUUUUCUUAUUCUCAAAUCAUAUAGGCUAAAAGAGCUUUAAACAAUGCUUUCAAAAUCAAACUUUUAUCUCAUGGAGAGUAAAACUUCUUUGAAACUCAAGGACUCAUGAAUAUUUGAAACUUUAAGACUUGGGAACUCUGUGACUCUUGAAAUUACAUAACUUUGGACACUUGGGAGUUUCUUCUAACCGACAUAAACCCUGUGAGCUACAUGAAGUCUAACGUCUUGUCCUCCUAAGAAAUAAACCUCUCGUUGGGGAGAGGCGUCAUACUCUUGCCAGGAAGUAUAACCUCAACUCAGUGAUCACUAUCUCGGCUUCGGGCCCAUAAAUCUCAGUCCUACAAUGACACGUAGUUCUGGGGUAUGAGACCUCAAAAUCAUACCCAACUCGGUGCUAAAUACUACUCCCAUACUCAGCUCAUAACUCUUAGGAAAUCCACUUCAAAUAACUCAAGGGUCUAUACUAAAGACCAAAAUGUAUUACUAUUUUCUUUAAUAGAACAUCAAUGUGGAUUCCAACUCCAUUAGGACCAAAAAGGUCAAAUAUUUCUCAAUAAUCUCAAAAUACUUGAAUCAUUGGUGCUUAUAGCACAGAAGUUCAUAAAAUUGUAAUUCUCAAGUAGGGCUUAGUGGCCCAUAGUUCAAUCUCAAGUUAAGACUCAUCAAAAUACAUACUAGAGAUCAUAAGGAUUCAUAAAUCAUAUAAAAAUCUGAAAUUUCAGCAUUUUGCAUUAAAAUCUCAACAUACUCAUGUAUCUCAAUUUCUAAAACAUGGAAAUUAUCAUAAUCUCAAGAAUAACAACAAAGGGUAUAAACCCAUACUCCAACUUUCAUAAGAAAAACAUGCGAAACCAUAUAUUCUUGUAAUUUAAAACAACUUUUGGGCACAAGGACGAAAGGAGUGUCCCUGUUCAAACCCCACAUACCUUAGAUUGACAAACUUGGAUGAAUAACUUGCUUGUGAGAUGUUAUUGGAACUCUUGAAUGAGGGUGUAUGGAAUUCUUGCACUAAGAACUUGGAAUCUUGACUAAGUAGGAGAAUUGAUGGAGAAAUCUUGAGUUUUUUGGAGGAAAAGUUUGAUGAACUAGGGUUUUUGGUUGAGGGAUUUCGAGAAAAAUGGUAUAUGAUUCUUGUAAUGACCUUAAAUCAGGUGUUUGGACGAUUUAAGUGGCUUGGAAAAAGUUCAAAAUACCCUUUUUAACUUCUGACCAAAACUGAAAAAAUAUAACUGGAAGCCCAAUUUUAUGGGCCACCGUGACGUGCCACUAUCCUGGUGGCUCACUGGAAAUUGACGAAUGGGAAUCUGAGCGUCACCGUCCCACUGAUUGGGACCUGAAAUUUCAGCGCGAUGCACCACAAUCAUGCUAGGCUACUGGAAACUGACAAUUAGGAUACUACUCCUCUCUGCGACACGCUAAAGGUGUGAAUGACAGUGUUUUACGACUGGAACUUCAAUCAGCCAUAAAUUCUUGUUCGGUUAUCGAAUUUGGGCGAAUCUUGUAUCGUUGGAAAGCUAAUUCAAUUUUCCACACGAUAAAAAGCCAAAAUUAGGAAAAUUAGAUGUGAUUUAAACAUUACUUACUUUGGAAGUCAUUCCUCAAUCUUAUAGAGAUAAAGUUAGGCUUAAGGAAAGUUUCGGGUAUUACAUUAUCCUGAUGGUGCUACUAUUUUAGACGUCCAAACUCACCCUUACGCUGGUCCAAAAUUUUUGAAACUCACCCGAGAUGUACUAUUGACCACCCCGAUCAUGAAUUAACUUAAAAAUUAAUGUUCCAAUGUCGGGAAGGUCGAAAAUAAAAUCAUUGAAUUUUGGGAGUUAAAAAUGACUAAGUCCCAACAUUUAGUGAAAUUUUCUAAUUCUUGGACCCCUUUUAACAUGUAAUAGUAAGCUGAAAUAAGUUUUGUCAACAAAAAAAUGUUUACUCUCUCCUAUCUAGCAAUUGCUCAUCACUACUAUCAUUUCGUAAGGGAUGGUCACUGAAAGUUUAGGACAUGAGGACCUAAAGCAUUAAAGAAUAACUUUGACACUCAACUGAGGCCUGAGGAAUAGAGUAUCAUUGUUCAUCAAAGAGGUCUAAACCGAGGACAUACAUGACAUUUUUCACUGAUCAUUAAAAGUGUUGCAUGGGUAUUGGAACUGAACACACUAUAAAACAUGAAUACAUAAGUCAUGAGCUGUAUGACCUAUGUUUGGAGUUUCCAAAUUCGUGGAACAUGGUUCUUACUGCUGAGAAAACUGGAACUCCUUAUACUAGAGACUGGAAGCAUACAUGAUUCUUUAUGAUGCGCAUGAGCAUGAACUAUGAUUAUGGAACUAACAUGUAAGGCAUGAGUAUAUCGUGAUGACUGAGAAACCAUGUAUUGAGAUAAGUAAGGGUUGGGCAUCAUCCUAUGCUACUGCUUUUCUACACAUACUGGCAUCACUACUAGGAUCUGAGAGCCUGACUUGGUUACUUGUUCUAUCAUCUCCUCGUUAGAUUAAAGCCAUCAUUAUAAGUUUGGAACCACUUAAUCAAUAUCUAUAAACUGAAUUGCCACCACUUUUUUUCUAGAAUCUAGGGUAUAAUAAUGCACAUAAUUGGUAAACUCACCCUAAAUGACUAUGCCCGAUAAUGUAAAACUUAUUGCUGGUCUUUCUUCUGAGAUACAACUCUUGGAUUUCUAUGCCCCUCAACAAUCAUCAUAUAACAACUUAACCACUGACUAACUUAGAAUCCUUAACUCUCCUUUCUAUUCGCUUAAUCAUCAAAUAUUCAAACUGAGAUUCUAACACUUAACAUGGAUAUCCCCAAACCUUCAAUGAACCAUACUACUUUCAUCAUAGCCUACAAAUAUCACAUCCUCAACAUAUAUUUCGAAUCAACAAACCUAAAUUCUUACAUACACUACUUCAAGCCUACUGAUUCACCUUUCAGCCAAUUAGCCCCAUGAAAUAUGCUCUACUCAAAUUCAGAUAACACUAUCCCAACUCUACUACUGUUGCUAAAUUCCGAAUUUGAUCCUCUAAUUCUAGAUCAUAUGCUAUCAUAGGAUUUUGAGAAAGAAUCUGAAGAUACAUCUGACUCCUAAGGACUGAGGUACUACCCAUCUAUUCAAUGAUUGGUUUAUUAAGAAACUAUAACUAAACGACUCCAUUUUUGAAAUCAAUUGAAGUAAUUUUCUAGGAUAUUAAAACCGAGCAAUUCCUGUAUACCCAUCUGGCUAGGAUAGAUUUACCCACUAAGGUAGACAUGGAGAAGGGCUCUUCUAAGGUUUUGAGACUAAUACCGAGCUUGACAACUAUAUAGGGGGUUACAAAGAGGAAACAAAGUUUUGGGGUCUAUUAAAAUAAACACAAAAAAAUGAAAGGCCUGUUACAUACUCAUAACUUCAUCAAAAAAACUUUCUUGAUCAUAUCUGUACUGGAGUGCAUAAAUUCUGUUCUGACGUUGACCAUUGGUGGCACUGGAAGUGGCACACUGCUGGGUCAGGUGAUCGACUGGGACUUGGGAAUGACUGUGCUGACUAUACUGACCCACCUGGGGGCAUUCCCUGACUCUGUGGCCUGGCUCGCCACAUCUAAAACACAAACCACUACUAGCCCUACACAUGCCCUAAUGAUUCCUACCACGCUUCCUGCAGAGAGGGUUAGUAUGACCACUCUUUGGCCUUGACUUAAAACUACAUGUUCUGGACCUCUUAUUCUUUCUUCCUUUUUCCCUACACUUCUCCUUCUCACUCUGCAGAGCAUUAACCAUUAGCCUAGAUAGGACAAUAGCUAGUUGAUUAUUCUGAGUAACUACUGAAUAAGCUAAGACAGUGAAAGCAACUCUAAAUUUGGAGUGAGAGACAUGCUCAUUUAGGGGAUCUUCCUGAAUAGGCGGAGGUGCGGGCUAAUUCCCAUUCCUCUUUUCGAUAUUCCUUUUAGGAGGCAUGGUCAGUAAUGGAAUUAAAGGAUAUAUUAGAACGAGAGUUUGAAUAGAGCUCAUACUUAUUUGCAUGACACGAACACUGAAAGACUGGAAACUUUUCCUAAAAUAUCUUGUAACCUCUUGUCCAUAAGUGUGGUGCGCUUCACACAUAUGCACAAGACUCUACUCAACAUGAAUUUCAGACUCCCUAGGACACUUUAAAACCUUAGCUCUGAUACUAAGUUUGUAAUGCCCUGAGAGUACACCCUGGGUGCUACACGAUGCUUACAUCCCCAAAGUACCACAAGCUAACCCAUAUUGAUACCUGCUGUGAGCACUGAAUAAAAUAAUAAGGAAUAUGUACGAAAUUUAACUGGAACACCAUAAGGUUUCAAAUACGGAAAACAAUACUGAAUCGUAAUACUAAAAAUAAUUUUCUGAAGAAUGAUAAAACUGAAAGCAACUAUUUUAUUGAAAAUGUCUAAAAGCCUCUAAAUCUGACUGACUGUAGAGUUCAAGGGACAAGCCCCCAGCUUACUCCAACUGACUAAAUAACUGAACUACUAAUACAACUAAAGAUAAGGUAACUUGUCCUCGAAGGAUGAGGACUCACCACUACUUCUGCUGCUGCUGCUAAUAAACUGGAAAAUCAAAGUACAGUUGGGAAUCUGAGCAGCUGAACCUAUGAUAUAAGACAUCAUAGCGCAAGAAAUGAUAUGCGAUCAAUAGUUUGAAUGUACUGGUAUGCUAAAUGAGGUUAGGCUAAUAUUCAUGGGUUCAUAUAUGUGAGUAAUAACUGAUUGAAUGUACAACAUGAGAUACAGAGUAAGAAUGCAUGCAAACUAUAAAGACUGAGAAUGCAUAACCAAGCAUAAAACGAGUUCUAAAAUAGUCUGUAAAUUGAAUUACUAAAAUCUGAUAAAUGAAUAACUGAUAAACUAAAUGAUAUGGUCAAGCAGGACUGAACUGAAUUCUAAACUGAGUACUAGAACCGAAACAGUGGGAGCUAUCAUCUAAUUGACAUACCCUAAUAUAGACUAAUUGGGGUCCAACCUAUAAACCCAAUUGGAAGGGUGUUAGUACCGUGCCAUGGGUUACUAACAAUGGCUAAGUAAACCCUAAUAUUGUAGGAAGACUCAUGAGAUAUAUAUAUCUAUGUCAACCCUAGUCUGGUAGGAAAACAUAUCCACCUAUGCUGGCUACAUACUUCUGUAACUCAGGGACUGCUACUAAGGGUUACACCUUAACCUGGAAGGAAUGCCCCCAUCCCUGGGUUUGCUCGGUGCUGAAUCCUACUCCUAACUAAACCGACAUUGAUUACUAGACUAGGCUAAGCUUGACCGAAAUCACACUGACCAUGUUAACUGACCGAGUAUUACUGCUCAAGAUACGGCUGGGACCCUUCUAUAACUACUGAAAACUAAGUAAAUAGCUAAAUUGCAGGUAUCAUAACCCCAGGACUCGAUAGCACAACAAUAGAAACGCGUGAAAGCUUUGAAAACCAUGAUAAAAAAUUACUACUCAGAAUCCGUCACUUUGGCAUUUCAUCAAACACAUGGGAUACAUGAAUUUAAACAUGGGAAUAACUAUAAACAUGAUGAGAUAACAUGAUCAUAUGACAUAAUCAUAAACUGAGGAUUUAUUCUAAAUUCUCAUAAACAUGAUAUGGAAAGCCACAAUAUUUAAAACAUACUAUAAUGCAUUCUACUUGAAACAAUUUAUAAUCUUAACUUGAAAUUCAAAUGGUAAGAAAUUCAUGGAAUUAAACAUGGGAAUGAGUGAAACAAGUGGGAAUAGCAUAAUUGCAAUCCUAAAACCAUACUUAUGUAUUUAACAAUGAAAUUUUAUGCUUCAAAUGUGUAAGAGAUGCUUUCAACGAAAAUAGAUUGUAAACAUCAUGUAUAAUUGAAAUUCAUAAAAAGCCUUAUGGAGAUAAAUCACUAUAAAUAUGUAAUCUCAUAAUUUAGAACAUAAAAGAUGGGUUCUUGGAUUCCAUGGGUGAAAAGGGACCAUGGAUGAAAAUCUAACAUACCUUGAAAUUUAAAUCUUGAAAGCGAACAACUUUCUUGAAAGAUUUCUUGGAUCGGAACACUUGAGUUCUUUGUUUUCUUGAAGGAAUGGCUUGAAUCUUGAAGAUGCUAGGGUUUUUCUUUUGAGAGAAAAGAUGAAUAAUAGUUUGUAUAAUGCUUUUGAGGGCUGAAAUUAUCUGUUAUGGACGAUUUACGGUAGAGGAAAAGACUUAUUUUCCCUUAAAAAUAUGGAAAUAGAAAUUGAAAAUAGGUGCGGCCGACGGAGCGCGCGUCGCGGGCUAAUCGCACGCCCUUACCACCUCUCUCACGAAAAUGACUAUAACUUUUCGCUCGGGUAUUGGAUUGAGGCAAAAUUAGUAUAGUUGGAAAUCUGACUCAAUUAUCUACAAUUUGGUGGGUCUUGAGAUGCCAAAUUAUAUGUAUAUAAGAAGUUAUACACAUUCAAAGUAGACCCUUGUAGAAUCAAAUACCAAACUCUGGAUGAAUCAAAGUAUCUUAGCUCAACUUUGUUCUAAGCAAUUCUUAUGAAUAUUUUUCACCUCGCAGGCACUUUACAUACUAUGAUAAAGAUCAUAACAUGUGUAUUCAAAAUAAAUCCAUGGAAUUAGAGUCAACACACGUAAGAACAAUGCUUCAAAGUCUAGCCCAAAAAUACGGGGUGUUACAUAGUUAUAUAACAAUUAUCUACUCUUUCUUCCACAAAUUUUCAACUUUGGUCAUUUCACAUCUCACAUUAAGCCUACUAAUUCAUUCCCACAAAACAUGCAUCAUAAAUCUUAAGCCACUAUUCUUACCACCAUACUCCACAUCUAAAGUUCAAGCCUAUAGUCUAGCAUCAAUCAUGUACCACCAAUGAAGCAUGGCACCUACUAUACUAGUCUAUCAAAUUGGGAAAUCAACCCAAAUACCUCAUUUCACUUAACUACUACCUAUAAUCACAUCUUUUCCAUAGAAUCACAACUACACCUCAAAAUCCACUAUAUACCUUCUCACAUAAAGUACUAGUUUACAACUACUAGAGAAAGAAAAUCAAGGGGGGUAAAGUAACGUAAUAGGGAUAGCCAAUCUUAAUCUUAUAAUAUAACCUAUUACGAUCUUAUCGCCAUGUUCUACUUUAUCACAUCAUAUUUACUUACCCAAGAAUACAUCACCACUACCUUAAAAUUCAAUUUACACCAAUGAAUCUCUACCCAUAGCCUAUUCACUGAUCUACCCCUUUCUAUUCACAACCUACAAAUGAUUUCUACAAUUACCAUAACUAUCCAUUUUGAGAUCCUUCCUUAUUUUUGAAUAAAACAAUUAUCAUAGCUAGCCACUUCCUUUAUAGACUACCACACAAUCUACAAAUAUUGCUACCGUACUAGUCUAUCACUAUAAAAUGGCAACCCAUCCUCAAUAAAUGGUUAUACAUAUAAACUAGCUUCUUUAUGCAUAAGUCACCCUUAUCCUAACUUCUAAGCUUGUGACUUCGUAUCACUGACUUCUAGACCAUCUUAUAGCUCAUAGGUUAUGAAACUUUAUCACAUACUACAAUGUGGGUGGAAAUAAUGUUCCAACAUUCUGCCACACAUUAUUACCCUUAACCAUGACAUCUACAACAAUGGUUUUAUAAUAGGAGACUGAAUACACUCCAUACCAUAAGCUCAAAUGCACGAUUGAUGUAGAUAGAGGUACAAACUUAAAUCAAUACACUUUAAAGCAUUUAUGGACUCUUCUCUAGUUCCUGCACAAUUUCAUAAUCGUUUAUGACCUAAUUAGAAAGGACCACAUCAUUUAGACUCUAAGCUUUUGCACUUGAAUUGACUCGACGAUAAGACAUAACUAAUAAAAUCUAAGUAAAGAAGGAAUUUGGAUAACUUCCAAAUAAACAACACAAUGGCACGAUCUAGAAAAUGAAGAAAAGUGAAACAUUCUUAAAGGCUUAGUAGCUUUCUCCUUAUACGUGUAGCGCGCUACACACCCAUAAAAAAGACUCUAUUGGAUGCAACUUUGCAGACACCUUGGGACCAUGAACCAUUAUCUAAUACCAAGUUUUUUAUGAUCCAAACCGAGGACCUGGCCGCGACGGGUAUCCCGCACCAUGAAGGCCCGAGAGCCUUCCUAUCUGGCAAUCAUACUCAACGUUCACAUAUUUUAAAGAAUGUGGAAAACAAAUGGAAACAUGGUCAUCUUAUUAUAUGCACUAAACAAUACAAACAUAAGUUCAACAAGACCCAAAACCAUAAAUACACAUCUGCGAAAUCUCUACUAAAAGCUGGAAAUAAUAUUUGUCUGAAACUAGGACAAGGCUCCCCGAUCGGACCAUGAAUAAACCAACAUCUGGGGUAUAAUAAUGCACAUAAUUGGUAAACUCACCAAUACAUUCAAACAAAGCAUACUAUAUUGAGUCACUCAUACUCCUCAUUUCUUUCUCUUAACCAUUUUAAGAGGACUUGGAGUCAAAAUUCAUUCUAGAAGGGUCCCAAAAUUAUUUACAUACGACAUAACAUAUUUCCUUAUUCCCUCUCGAUAUUAUAAGUCAAGUGAAGCUCUUUGAAUAGUGAAUAAAAUAAUUUUUUUUUCUGAAAAAACCAAGUAAAAUAAAGAUUAGCAUGAAAAACAUUAUUAUGAAACAAUGAACUAAGUAACGCUUUGGACAUGAGACUUCCAAAAACAUUCUGGUGCAAUUUCACAUUGUAUUUGGAAAAGUGAAAAUAAUUUUUUCUCUUUUUCACUCCUACUCCUUCCCCGACUAGGUCACAAAGAAUUUUAUACAUAAAAAGGCCAUAAAGGGAUCGUUGUAUGAAAUACCAUUCAUUGGUGAACCUACUUCACUCUUCCCAUAGACAUUGUCAGUCAAGAGGGACGAGAGAGGUUCUAACACAUUUUAAGAGAGAGCAAAAAAACCACAUAACUAGUAAGAUGGAAACAAAAGACCUUGAACGCAAAAAAUAGUUUAUCUAGAAUUAUAAUUAGUGAAAUUAAGGCUAAAUAGCAAACUAAAGUCUACGAUUAAGAGACUUUUAGGCCAAAAUGAUGAGCCAAAGAAGACUAAACGAGUGAGUAUAUCAUAUAUAUAUAUAUAUAUAUAUAUAAAUAGCACAUCAAUCUAAAAAACAUUGCUUAAGAUACAUAACAAGUAAUAAGCCAUAAAAUGCAAUGAUAUACAGAUAAAACAUUGAAUUCAACGAAUGAUGAAAAUCAUGUUACUAACAGUUCAAAGCACUGGCAUCGAACAUAUUGAUUCAAGAAAAAUGAUGUAAUGACAACUAUUACAUACAAAUCCUAUGGCCAUCAAAACCAUCUAUAACAAACAAUCCUAGCGACCAUAAUUACGACGACAUAGCUAUUGAUACAAAGAAAAAGAUAAAGAAGAAAAAAAUCAAUAAAAUAAAUGGGGAAAGGUGUGUUUACCUCUUUCAGAUCAGAAAAAUGGGACUUCUAGCUAUUGUCAGAAUCUCGACCACCGAAAACUCCACCACUACUGCUAUUUGACAGCUUUUCUAAAAAAGAAUUUAUUUUUAACUAAAAAUCAAACUCUUUGCUCAAUAAAGCUUUCUUAGCCCUUUUUAAAGACUUUAUUAGAGCUCACUUUUCAGCUCAACAAUUGCUCUUUUAAAGGAGGGAAGGAGGAUUGAGUUUUUGGACUUCAAACGAUGUGGGAAAAAGGGGAAUCAGAAUUUGGAAUUUUUUAAUGGAAAUAUUUUUUUUGAAUUUUAAAUUAGGAUUAGCUUCUGCAUCUUGUGAAUUGUACCGAUUGGUAUAGAAUCAGAUCAAACUAUGAUAAGUCCUAUUUGGGCAUUAUAAGAAAAAUUAAAAUUAUUUUUAAUUUAAUAAAAAAUAACCACGUAUGUACUUGCACAGUAGGUAAUCUAUGAAAUUGCAAGGUGGAUAUUGCCAUUUCUAGGGACACAUCGCCAAUUUUAGAUUCUUAUAAAACCCAAAAAGCUCAAUAACUAUGGGCAAAGGGAUGGAGAUGGAGAUUAACAUGGGAAGACAAAGAAAAAAGAAUGAGGUCGGGUUUCGUUGGGUCAGGUCUAGUGAGUUUGCCGACUAUUAGAACGAGUUGCUGGUUGGUUUGUUUGCUAUUAUAAACAAUUGUUUUUAUCAUUGGUAUAAUGAAGAAGAAAGAAAGAGGGGAAGGUCGGGUCAGGUCAGGUCUGUUGUGGGCUGGAUGAAAUUGAAAUUAUUUUGUUGAGCUUGGCGGGUCAGGGUUGGUUUUGGGGUAAUUGAAGUAGGAUGAGUGGAAAGUUUUAUUGGGUCAGGUGAGGUUGCUAUUGAAUAUUUAAGGGGAAUGGAAUACUUUUGGGGUUAUUUAAAAAAUAAUCCCCAUUAAAUUCGGAGUUAACCAAUUUAAUUUAAUUUUCAAUCAAAUUGACAUUUGAUUGGCUAAUUGCAUUACAAUUGUCGCCAAUUUCAUUUCAAUUAUGACCAAAUAUAAAAUAUUGGCUAAAUUAAAUUGGAAUUCAAUCUAAACUAAUGCCUCAAUUAAUCUCGAGCUUCUUGAUUUAAUAAAAUCAAACAUGUAUUUUUCCAAAUAAAUUAUUUUUAAGAAUAAAUUGUAUUUAAAUAAAGAUUUUAACCAUUUGAAUUAAUUUUCAAAAUAAUCCUUGAUUAAGAUUUAAUUUUCCGUACAAUCAUUAUUUAAGUAACAAAACUACAUGAUUUCGUAGAUACAAAUACGAAAAAAUAUAAUCGUUACUUUAAUUGAAAAAAUUAUCUAGAUAAAUACUUUGAAAAACUUUUAGUCGGAUAAAAUAAAUAUUGUAAUUUCAUUUAAAAUUUAAGAAACUCAGAAUUAAACUUAGUCGUGGAGGGCAAAAAUUAGAUGUCAACAAUAUAUAUGUAGGUACCAGUGUUAUGUCAAGGGUAAAGUAGUAAAUUCACUUGUUUGGAUUGAUUUCUUUAAAGUUAGUAUAUGUAACAUGAUGUUAGUAAAGUUAGAAAUUAAUUGUCUUGCUUCUUAUGACUUAUGUAUAUAUGUUGGGAGAAAGUUGAAUAAUUUGGCUAGUUGUUGCUUGAUGAAAUGUGUCACUCGAUAGGCAGGAUAUAUGAUCUCUUCAUGCCAUGUGACAUCUUGUGACUAAAAGGCAUCCUUAUAUUUAUCCAUCGUGAUAUCUAUUCUUUGUAUCUGAGGCAUUCCUAUUCUAUUUCACACGAGUUCAUAUGUAUAUUAUUUGUUGGAUCACUUUGUCCCCCUCUGUUGGCCUUCGGGCAAGAUCCAGUGAUUUUGAGAUAUGGUUGAUACAUAGUGCCUUUGUUGAAAAUACUCUCCAAUGGAUAUGUCCAGAAUCUAGAUUGAGACAUCCUGAGGGCCCAAAGGGAAGGACCUAAAUGGUAUAUAUAGACUUCGCAAGGACCCAUGGGUCAUAACUAUCUAUAUAGAGCAAUAAGUGUAUAUAGGUUUCUGGAUAGGUAUAUGAAUAUGCAUCAUAUGUUUUCAUCUCACGGCCUUCAUUUCCUUGAUUUGCAAUGAUAUUUGAUAUGAAAGAUAAUUAAGUGGCAUGCUUCUCUUAUUCUAAUUUUAUAGUAAUUGAAACUAUUUAUAUUGAACUAUAUUCUUGUUUUUUGGUUAUUGGUUGAUAGACCGGGUCUGUCUUUCCUAAAUUUUAUAGUGUGUGGGAAGUACACAGUAUAGUAGGUUGAAAGUUUUCUCACCGUUGAUUUGGUUUAGAUUUAAUUGAUGAUGCUACUGUGUACAUGUGUAUUAGUACUCACAUAUUUUAUUUUAUGUACACUAUAAGAAAGCAUUAAAAUAGUUGUCCUGGGCAUUAAUCUAGUUAUGUGUUCAAGGCUUUUCACUCCAAGAUUUGAGGUAGCUGCUGGCUGAACCAUUACUCUAUUAGAUCUUUUGUAUUUUUCCUUAUAAAUUUUUACUAUUCUUGGAUGCUGAGAUUCUUUGGUUGUAUUUGAUAUUUGUAGAGGUUUAUACUAGUGACAUCCAAAUUUUGGGUAUUUAGAUAUUGAUCUUCAUGCUUUUACUUUGAAGAUUGAUACAAAAGUAGGUAUUUGAGACUAAAUAUUAUUUUCUUCUUGCUUAUAAUUAUCUUAUAUCAUUAUGUUUGGGGGUUGGAUUUACCUAUCAUAUAAGUGAGUUAAAUGCCAUCAUGACCUAGGAUUUUGGUUGUGAUAAGUUGGUUUUAGAGUAUUUGGUUUAUUGGUAUCAUACGUAUAAAUAGAGUCUAGUAUAGUUUUACAAAUUGGUGUAGAUAUGUUCGUUUGUAUUUUUGGAAGUCUAUAUAACUUUAGGAAAAUUUAUUUCUUUGUUCUUACCGCAGGAAGCUAAUUUUAUCAGUUACUGAGAUUCUUUAUUUUAUUCUUUCUUUGAGUGUGAGGACAUGUUCUACUAUAUAUAGAUAUUAAGAUUCUAUUCUAACAUCUAUAACUACUACUCAUGCCUGAACACAUAGAUAAAUUACAUGAUAUGUUAAGGGUCAAGGUUUGGACAUGGCAGAGGUAGAGCACAAACAACUACUCAUCUCCUAUCUAGGGAAAAGUCUAUUAAUGUUGAGUUAAUAUUAAGGAUGAUAAGGUUCCAGUUAAAGAGGUGUGCCCAGUUCAAACUCCACCUAGAUUGUAGCUACUCGAGUAAUUUACUUUUUGUUAUAUUUAUCAGAAGGCAUGACUCAGAGUGGUGGUUUGUUGGGUGCUCAAGAAGGUUCUGAGACCAAAACUGGAGAAUAAAUUCCACACUAGAAUCCUAAUCUAGGGUUUUAGGGCUUGUUGGACCAGUCGUCAAUAAUGUAGUAGCUAGAUUUUUUGAUAUGCCUUUUUCGGGUGUGGGAGAAUUAAGUAUGGUUUGGCAUAUUAUGUCAGAUGAGAAGCAGUGAAGGUUGCGAGGUUUAGGAAUAUGGAUCCACCUUAAUUUCAGGGUGGACAGAGCGAGGAUACUUAUAAGUUUCUAGUGAGAUAUCAUGAGAGGCUUUAGAGUGCGGGAUUGGUGUAGUCCCAUGAAGUAAAUUAUACAUCACUUCAAAUGUGAGGCCCUACUAAAUAGUGGUGGCAUUCUUAUGUUGAUUCCAGACUUGUAAGUUCUGUGCCCAUAACUUAGAGUGUAAAACCCCAUAUAUUUCAGCAUAUAUAUGAUUAAGUUACCAUGAAUGAGAGUAUUUAAAAUUGGGAUCAUAAGUAGGUGUUUGAGUCUAAAGUUUGAAGUAACCAAGUAUACAUAUGUUUUAAGUUUAAUUAAAGGGAUUUAGAUCUAAAAAUGGAAAAAAAUAUCAAGGUGAUUGCUUGACUUAUUUAAGCUAGUAGGUGAGUCACCUACUUGAGCUAUAUGGACCAAGUUAACGGAGCCAAGGCUAAUGGAUUAGAUUUAGGAUUAUAUUAAUGGACUAAUUUAAGGCCCAAACAAUGGGGAAGAAAAUGGCAUCCCAACACCAAAAUCUGUCCCAAAAGCCCAAUAAAUUAAAGGCCUAUUUUAGACAUGAAUAAAGCGAGUAGGUGCAUCACCUACUUUGACCUUUUUAGCAUCUUGAACUCCUUAAGUAGGUGCAUCACCUACUUGGACCAAUUUGUGAUCCAAAAUGUAACAAAACAGGCAGAAAAAUUAGUGCAUUUAUAAGACAAGCUUGCUGGUCAUUUCUUUUAUUAUUAAGUUAGAAAAAUCUAAUUUUCUCUCUCAAGUUAUUUAUCUUUCUCUCAAGGCUUAGUACAACUACCUCAGUUUCCUCCUAGGGGUCUUGAAGAAACCCUCCUUAUUUCCAACCAAGGUAAGUGAAAGUAACUGUGGUUUGUCUUUAAUUCUAUCAUAGGAUGUUAUGGAAAUUAAGUUACUUUUGUUUGAAGUGUAGGAUGACCCCUUUUUUCCAAGCUUGGCAGUCCACUUCUCUUCAAUCUCUAAGAUAUUUUCUAGUAGUAUUUGGUUCAACUUGAAGGAAAACUUAGUUUUUAUGGAGUACAAUUUGAGAAAGCAAAUUUCAAAAAUAAAGUUAAGGUUGCUGCCUUAAUUUUUUCCCUCUUUAUGUAUAGUUCUUGAUGAAGGAUUUUAUAUAUAUUGUUGUUAAUAACUCAUAAGAUUGUGAUCGAAAGCCGUGAGUUUAAUAUCUUAUAUUGUGUUGAAGGAUUUUGGGACUGUUUAGGUGAUGUCUAUAUGUGUUAUUUUUGGAGGCAGUAGAUGACCUUAUAUAAUGGUUAAGUGGAGUUAUAUUAAAGUAUAGAAGGAGGUAAGGUGAUACACAAAUUGUUUGAGGGGAUAAAUAGUCUUACUGCCCAUCAAGUGUUUAAUUACUAUUUCACAGUGAUUACAUUUUGAUUAGUUGCUAAUAUUAGCUCCAUUAUGUACUUAUAUUGUGGAUUAACACCUUAAUGAAAACAAGGCUAAUUCAUUGUAAUAAUUAGAUUACACAACAAGGUAUAUAAAGCUAUUCUAGUUCAUAUUCUUUGGCAUGAUGUCUUAUAAUCAUGUACCAAUAAAAUGAGCUUUAUAGAUGAUCUUUCACGGUAAGAGAUACAUUAUGAUGUUGCAAUCUCUACUGUAGUUAAUGGAUCUUUUCUUUACUACCCAUGGUCUGAAAAUAUGCUAAAAUGUCACAUGCCUCUCUCAUAUGAGUCAAUAAGAUGCAAUAUUAGACAUGUUAAGAAUGUCACAUAUUGGAUAUACAAUCUAUCCAAAAUUGCUUCAAUUGUCUAAUUGAUCAUAUACUUCUUUUGGCUCACAUGUUCACAUGUUCCUUUUUUUAUAUCACUCCCAUUAUGUUUGGGUAAAAGGUGACCUUAUAGAGUCCUCACAUAUUCAAAAUAUAGUUUAGAUGUCCUUUCUUGGGAUGCACAUUUGUUCCUAAUUAGAAUUUGCCCAUGUGCCUUAAUAGUUCCCAUGUUUGCGUACCCUUUUAUUUGUUAUCACCUUGUGAGUAUUUAUUAUUCAGUCCAAACCUUUUCAUUUGAGGAGCUACAUGUCUCCCCUUAGUGUGCAUAUAUUCUCCCAUUUAAAUGUUUAGAUUCCUACACUUUAGUUUGCAACAAUUGUUAUAUGCAAUGAAACAUCACUUGAAUCUUCCACAACUAAUAUAUGUUAUGUAAUAUUACUUGCUCACUAGUUAUACAUCUUAAUAGCUCAUUUGUUGCAUAUCUUGAUCUCUUUACUUGUCAUAUGUCUUCAUGGCUCAUUUAUGAAUGUGUUUUAUGUGUAGUGAGGUUUAUAUUGUCAUAUAAGUUCCAAAAUAUUUCUACAUCGAUGUUACCCUUGUUUCCUAUAUCAUUGUUUUUGUCUCAAUCAUAUUGUUCAAAUGUUUUCUUCUAUUGGUCCAUAGCUCUAGAGCUUAAUAAUGUUAUGACCAUCAACGAACAAUCUCAAAGAUUAAAGAAAUAAGGUAAAGUGAGCUUAUGUAUUUAUGGGUGGAAGCUCAAGGGUUAUAAUACCUAGCAUGGGUUGAUGCCAUUCUAUGUAUUGAUGGGUAGAAGGAACACCUAACAUGGGUCAAUCCUAAUAUUACGGUUGGGAGAAAUAAAAUCCUGGUAUGGGGUACACUAUGUUUUACGUCGUAGGUACAAGUAUUCUAGCUAAUAUAUCUCCCUAAAAUAAGCACAGAAUACUCAGUGACUGUUGGAAAGAUCCAAGUUGAUUCGAGGCUUUGCCAAGUCUUUAGCUUGUAUUUGAUAUUAUAUUACAGUUAAGGGUAUGGCAGGGUCUUGUACCGACAUAAGCUAAAGUUGUCUAUCUCUUAGAGGCUUUGUAUACUAUUGUUAAAUUAAAGCACAAUGGUGCCUUAUUCCCUAUUAAUUAAGUCCCCAACGGCCAAGUCAUGUAUAUUUAUUAUGGGCUUACCUAUAUUGGUCCUUUAUCAGCGAGUCUUACCUUUACUUGUAAAAGCCUUAUAAUUAUCACAGUUACAUGCACAAUAAUAAUAAGGUAGAAUUUGGUUCUCUCAAGCCUUUAGGGUUUCUGGUGCCUGUUCAUUUUAAUGGGAUAUAAGGCAUGACAUAGAGACCUUUUUGCCUAGGCUUUCCUAUAUCAGUUUGUUCUUAUAGUUUGAGAAAAGAAUGGAGAGACCAAUUCGAGAUCUAACUUAGGAGGUAUUUUCUGUGUCCAAGUAUGGGAUUAGAUUAUAUGCAUUAUCUCUCCAUGCCUCGAUGAUUUUCUUAGAUGAGACUAAGAAGAUUUACAGGUUUAUGAGGGGUUUGAUUUUUAGAUCUGAGAGAGAGCUUUUCAGAUAGACCAAAUUAGGGCUUCUUUUUAAAAAGUGGUUAAGACAACCAAGGAGUUUGAUCUUAUAUGUCAUGAAGAAUGUAGGGACUUGAGAAACAAGAGGUACACCACUUAUAUCAAUUCAAAAGAGGGUUUUCCUCCUCAAUAUGGUGACUAGUUCAUGCUUCCAUUUAGGCAUCCAAGGAUGAGUAUUUUGCCUAAGACUCCAUCAAUUUAGGUCAGACUUCUUAAGGUUUAUCUUAGAAAUUUUUGAGUUGUCGUGGACAUUUGGAUACUUCAUGUUUAUCUCAACUAGUUUCUACUUGUUUAAGCUAUUUUUGAUAUGGUUAUGCUUGGAUAGAGAGGUCAACAACAUGAUUUUUGGUCUCCAGAUAGAGUAGUAGCACCACUAUUUAUGGGGUUUGGUCAUUUAGCAGAAGGUGGUUGUGCAUCACUGUAGUAACUCUCUUGGUCAUUUUCUUGUGUAUUUACUAUUCUUAGAACUUUUCUAUAACUUUCCCUGGUAAUUUAUGAUGUGGUAGGAUAGGUGGUUUGUUUAUCGAGUAGUUUAUUUUGUUUUAUGUCAUUUUUUUUUGUUUUUGAGCUUUUAAAAUUGAGAAAUUGGUUUUUGAUCAAAACAUCAAGAAAAUAGACUUAAAUGAGAAUUUUGACAUUUCUAUUAGCUUUAAAAUUUAGAUUUUGGGACCUUUGUUUUAGGUCCUAAAGCUUUUAAACUUGUUUUGGGAUAUCAAUUAGUUUUUGGUUAAAAUAGAGGGUUAGGUGUGGGGCCUAUUUUUUGUCAAAAUUACUUCUAUUGGGAAUUUCAUCAAUUAUGUUGAGUCUUGAAUGUCAUUUUUGGCAGGGUAGCAUAUAUUGUUUGUGUGCAUGGGUUUCAAACAAAUCCCAAGCAUACGAUUAGAGUUUUUUUAGACUUAGCUUUGUUUUCUGGUGCAUGAGCUAGUGCAACUACUUUUUUAGUGCAUGGGUUUCUUCAACGGAGCUGCUUAUGCAAUUAGUGAUGCCACUAAGUGUCCAAAGCUGAUGUCAUAUGCCACCUCUUAAGCGGGCUCUCCUCUUCUUAAGAGGAACUACUUAUGCAGCGUGAGAGCUACUUAAGUAGUAAAGGGCUAGGUAAACAGUAACCAACUCUUUUGGAACUGGUCAGUCACUUAAGAUACAUUGCUUAAGCAGCCAAACCUUUUCUUAAAUGGAGGUAGAUGAAUAUGUAUACCCUUCACUUUGAUUAUUUCUCCAUUUUUAUUUGAAUUUUCUCUAUUUUUGGACCUUUAGAGCUUGGAAAACUUUGUGGAAAAAAAAUUUGGAGCUAAAGUGUUAUGACCCUCUUUAUCGUUGCAUAUGAGUCCUACAUCUAAAAUCUCAUGUCCAAAUUCUUCCAAGUUUGAAAGUUACAAAUUUUAGGAUAGGCUAGUUUCGAUCAAUUUUGUAGCGAGGGGUGGCCUAGGGAAAUAUGAGAAUGAUUUAGACUGAUUUAGUGAUUUUUGUCUUGAUUUUCGGUUAGCUAAGAUGAUAAGUAACUCAUAGAAAUUUUCAGAAUUGGAUUUGGGUAAUUAGAACUCCCGAAAUUUAUCUUAGUAAAAGGCACUAUUAGAAAUGUCCCAUAUUUAAGGUGUGUUGCAAAAAGUGGGAUUUUUGAGAGAAGAUGGAAAUUUUGUCCCAUUGAUGCUGCUACAACGGUCAGCACACCACUAUAGCGGUAAGGACUACAACGAAGGAAUUUUUGCUAUAGUGGUGGUCAAACAUGGCCAACAACUUCUAUAGCUGUGAAAACUGCAGAUUUAUUAAAAUAUUUUCCUAAAAUACUUUAUUUUACUAAAACUUAUUUUGGAUCAAAGAAAGGGAGAUUUAGGGUGAAACCCACCAAAAUUUCUUUGUUUGGCUUCGUUAAGGUAAGGAAUUCAUCCUCGUUGACUCUUAUAUACUUACUAAGUUUUAGCAUUGUUAAUUCACUGAGUUCGGGGAGGGUUUUAGGGAGAAUUUUGAUUAAUUACUGGUGUAAAGGGGUACAUUAUGUUUUGAUUAUUAAUAUUUGAUUUAUCCUUGCAUUCCGUUAAUUCACUAAUUUAUCUAUGAAAUUUAUAGUUUUAGGUGAAUUACAGUGGAAAACCCCUUGGAAGGGAAGAAGAUGAUCAUGAAUUUGACCUUCAGAGUUGGGUGUCAGUUAUAAAUCCCAAUAUAUUAGGUCAUUUCUUUACUUAUUUAUUUAUGUGCAUAUUAUAGAACACGAGCAAGCAAAAAUUGCAUGGAAAGACAAAGCUCCAACAUAAAGUAGUUAUGCAAGCUUGGUUUAAGGUAGGUGAUGGUGUUGUAGUUUGAUCCAAUUUGUGCUAUAUUUGGAUGUUAACAAUUUUGUAGUAUGGCUUGUUAGUGCAUGUUGUUUGGUGAUUCUUUUGCAAAUAAUUUAUGGCUAUUAGAUGAUUUUGAGCUACUUCACCUUCUAAAUGUGGAAUGUUUGGUAUCUAGAACAUUCUCAAGGUAUUUUAGUGGAAUAAGGUUGGCAUACCCUUAUAUUUGGGAUUUUAAUACAUAGAUGAUAAUUGUCCCCUGCAGUUCAUGAUCAGAGGUGGGUUGUUUAUUCCCUUAGCGUGUGUGUACAAGGGCCAGGUGAGUUUUAAGAUUACAUGAGUGAAUCAGGGAAAUAUAUCUUUAUACUUAAUAAAUUUCCUAACUUAUAUUGGCUUGGCUUAACAAAACUUGGCAUGGUGAUAAUGUAUUGAUUUGCUGGUUUGAUUCCUUAUUUUUCACUGUUGCUUGUUAUGCUAAGUGUAUAUUUGUUAAGCAUGGAUUAACUUGUUGUACUAUAACUUAGUUAUUUGUUCAUAUUCUCAUCUUGGGUUGGCCAAAUUACCCUACUAGUACAGUUUUGUUCUUGUGCAUGGAUACUACACCUGCAUUUACUUUUGUGAGUAUAGUGUACAUUCCAACGGCUCAUACGAGACCUUACUUAUGAUUCCAAUGAUUGACUCUCGAUUUCAGGGUGAGCAGCAUAUCCAGGCUGCCAUGCAAUCUUUCCAUUAUAGCAUAUUUCUUAUUUCUGUACUUAUGUUUUUCUUUGGUUUUGGGGUUGCAUCCUUUUCUUGACAAUCUUUAGUAGUUUUGGUAUAGAUGACUUUCGAUUCCUUGGGAUGGUUUUUGGUUAAGUACAAUGUUUUGCCUUACAGUUGUAAUUAUGUUUGUUCUUUAGACUUGAUAUUUUAUUGGUGGAUUUGUUCUAUGAUCUUUUUUAAGUGUUGAUUUUGUAGGUAGUUCUCCCAUUGAAUUAGUAGUGUGGGAGCCACUCACAAUGGGUUUGGAUUGUGACAAAGUUUAUAUCAGAGCCUAGGUUUGGUGAUCUUGUCAUACCAAAUUAGGUACAGUAGAGUCUCAUAGAAUGGUAUGGAGACAUCUAUACUUUUCUUAUGGAGGCCAUAGGACUUUACCAAAUCUUUCAUUCUUAUUUCUUUCGCACUAUAACUUGAUUCCAAUUGGUAUGUGGUGAUAUAGAUUGGUAUUUAAUCUUUUUCAUUAUUUUGUCCACAGAUGGUGAAUGCUAUGUCAACGGAACCCUACUAGUAGCUCUCGCACCUGUCACUCUAGCUGUAGAGCUAAGGGAAGGAAAGAAUGAGCCAUACUCACUAGCGUAGAGCUCAAGCUACGUCUGGACAAAAUCUUCCUAGGUAAGCAUCACCUCCCUCACCUUAUGUACUUUAUUUCAUUCGGGGUCUACAUAUUAUUAUGUAUCUAUCCAAUUUAUAGUGGGUUUGAAUUUGGUUUAUGAUGUACUUGAUUAUCCUAUUUAUGUGUCUACUUUAGCGGGUGAGUAUGUGAUAGUAACACUUGUUUAUCAUUCUUGUCUUGUAUUAUUUGUAGGAUUUUAGACUUAGGUGUACUUGAUUAUUCUUGAUUUGUUAGACUUUGAUGUAAUUUUAGGUAUGACCUGGUUUUUUUCAUAUCUUAGUGUUUUAAACUAUUAUGCAAAAACAAUCACUGUAGCUAGGCCAAUAUGAAGAAACUAGAGUGGGAGGGAGUGUAUAAGGAUGAACUAGUAAUGAUUAUAUCAUAUGUCCAGGAUAGAAGGCUAGUGAGAAAGGGGUGUUCAACAGUUUUAGCUCAUCUUUGGGAUGUAGACAUGGGGUCCCCUUUUACGGAGUCAGUUCGGUAGUCUUUGAAAUUUAGGAUGUGUUUUCUUUAAACCUACCGAGUAUGCCUCCAAAUAUGGAUAUAAAUUUCUGCAUGGACUUAGAGUCGGGCACUCACCCCAUUUCUAUUCCACCUUAUCAAAUAGAACCAGCAAAGUUAAGGGAGCUUAAAACUCAACUACAUGAGCUACUUGAUAAAGGUUUUGUUCAUAUAUACACUUCACCUUGGGGUGAUCCAAUCUUGUUUUUUAAGAAGAAGGAUGGUAUCUUGAGGAUAUACAUUUGUUACAGGCAGUUGAAUAAGGUUACCAUUAGAAACAAAUAUAUCUUGCCUCAUAUAUAUGACUUAGUUGAUCAGUUACAAGGUGCGUCAGUGUUUUUAAAAGUUGAUUUGAGGUCGGGUUAUCAUCAAUUGAAAAUUAGACCAGAGGACAUAUCGAUGACAUCUUUUAGUACUCGAUAUGGUCAAUAUGAGCUUAUGGUGAUAUCUUUUGGGUUGAAUAAUACACUAAAGCCUUAUGAGUUUAGUGACUGGGAUCUUUAAGUUGUUCAUUGAUUCUCAUGUUAUUGUAUUUAGUGGUGAGAUUCUUAUGUAGUCUAAGAGUAAAGAAGAGCAUGCAGGCCAUCUUUGCAUAGUUUUAGAGAUUUUAAGGGAGAAAUAAUUAUUUGCUAAGUUUUCAAAGUAUGAAUUCUAUUUGUCUUCAGUUACCUUCUUGGGACAUAUGGUUUCUGAAAAAGGGGUAAUGGUGGAUCCCUAAAAGAUUGAGGCAAUAAAGAAUUGAAAUUGUCCUAGUUCAGUGACUGAGUAAAGAAGUUUUGUGGGUCUUACUAGUUAUUACUGCAAAUUUGUCAAGAACUUUGCAUUCAUUGCAAUGCUCUUGAUAAGGUUGAUACAUAAGGAAUUGUCAUUUGUUUGGUCAUACCAAUGUGAAAAGAUCUUCCAAAAGCUCAAGACUCUUUUGACUAUAACACCUAUUCUUUCGUUUCCAGUUGAAGUUAAGGACUUUAUAGUAUUUUGUGAUGCCUCACUUUUAGGUUUAGGUGUUGUGUUGAUGAAGGAUAGAAAUGUUAUUUCUUAUGCUUUAAUGCAGUUGAAUCCUCAUGAAAGAGACUACCCAACCCAUGACUUAAAGUUGGCAGUGGUGAUGUUUAUAUUAAAGACUUGGAGACACUAUAUUUGUGGAGUCAAGUGUGAGGUCUUCAUAGAUCAUCAUAGCCUGCAACACAUAUUUACUCAAAGGGAUUUAAAAUGAAGUAGGGGUGGUGGAUAGAAUUAUUGAAGGAUUAUGAUAUGAAUAUUCAAUAUCAUUUGGUUAAGGCCAAUGUGGUGGUAGAAACAUUGAGCUAAAAAGAUGUAACUAUGGGUAAUUUAUCAUGUUUGAGGGUAUCUAGGUGACUAUUAGCUAGAGGCUUUAAAUAUCUAAUAUCUCUGAACAUGCAUUUUGGGGUCUUGGAUAGGGGUGGUAUGUAGGCUAGUGUAGAGGUAACGUCAAUAUUUGUGGAGCCGAUUAAGGCCAAGCAAUUUGAGGAUAAGAAGUUAAAUGCACUCUAGAAUAAAAUAGUGCAUGGAGUGAUGACAGAUGCCACUCUUAACGCGUCAGAGGUGUUGCGGUUUAAGGGAAGAUUAUGUGUUCCUUGGGUGGGUGAUUUGAUUCAUGAUGUACUUUUAGAGGCUAAUGACCUAUGUUAUUCAAUUCAUCUGGGUACAACUAACAUGUAUCUUGACUUGAUGCAACUUUAUUGAUAUAAGAGGGACAUAGUGGAUUAUGUGUCCAAGUGUCAAAAUUGUCAGCAGGUAAAGUAUUAGCACUAAAGGCCUACAUGGUUACUUCAGAGAAUGCCUAUACCCUUGUGAAGUGGGAGAAUAUUGGUAUGGACUUUAUGGUCGGUCUCCCUAGACCUUGGAGAGGUAUGACUCCAUUUGGGUGAUAGUAGAUCCGCUGAUGAAGUCAGCUCACUUUUUACCAAUUCGGGUAGACUAUAAUUCUCAUGUGAAGGAGAUUGUGAGACUUCAUUAGGUGCCACUUACUAUUAUUUCUGACAGAGAUUCAAAGUACACAUUUAAGUUUUUAGACAGGUUGAACAAGGAGUUGGGCACCACGACCAUGUUUAACACAACUUUUCACCCUCAAACUGAUGGGUAAUUGGAGAGAAUAAUUUAGGUAAUAGAGGACAUGUUGAGGGAUUGCGUAAUUUAUUUUAGUGGUUAUUGAGAUUAGUUUCUUUCAUUGUGUGAGUUUUCAUACAACAAUAAUUAUCACUCCAAUAUUGAUAUGGCAUCAUUCGAGACACGUUAUGGAAGGAAAUACAGGUCACCUAUUGGGUGGUCUGAGUCAAGAGAUGUUAAGCCUUUGGGAACAGAUUUGGUAAAAAAGGCUCAGGAGAAGGUAAUAUUUAUUCAAUCCAAUGGUUUCUCAAAGUAAGCAAAAGGAGUACACGGACCGUAAGGUGAGGGACAUGUACUUAAGGUUCGUGAGCAAGUUUUGCUCAAGGUAUUUCCCAUGAAGGAAGUUGAGGUUCGAUAAGAGGGGUAAGCUUAGCCCUCAGUAUAUUGGUCCCUUUGAGGUUCUUGAGAAAGUUGGUCCAGUUGUAUAUUGGUUAGCUCUAUUACUAGGGUUACCGAGAGUCCAUACCAUAUUUCAUGUCUCAAUGCUAAAAAGGUACCAUAUAUUAAUUGGGAUUUGGUGAUUCUAGAUAAGGAUUUGACUUACAAGGAUGAACCAAUAGUGAUUCUAGAUCUGGAUGUUCAAAAAUUAAUGAUGAAAGAAAUUCAUUUGAUAAUGGUGCAAUGGAAUAACUAUCCAAUUGAGAAAGCCACUUAUGAGAUCGAGAAGGACAUGCAGGGUAAGAACCCUCAAUCAUUUAAGGAUACAUGUACUCUUCUUCUUCCUUAUUUAACCUAUCUUUCAUUUGAUCGGUCAAAGAAAAUGAUGGGUAAAUUGGUAUCUGUUGUAACAACCCUCUUUAUCGUUACAUAUGCAUCCUAUGUCUAAAAUCUCAAAACCAAAUUCUUCCUGAUUCGGAAGUUACAAAUUUCAGGCUAGGCUAGUUUCGAUCAAUUUUUGAGAAAGUAGUGGCCUAAGGAAAUCAGGGAAUGAUGUAUACUUGGGUGGUGGUAUUUUUCUUGAUUUCUCCUUAGAUAAGAUAACAAGGAACCUAUAGAAAUUUAUGGAAUCAAAUUUGGGUAAGUAUAACUCCAGAAUUUAAUCUUGGCAUAAAGGUCACUGUUUGGAAUAUUCCAGGUUUAAUGUGCAUUGGAAAAAGUGGGAUUUUGGAGAAAGGAUCGAAUUUCUGUCCCAUUUAUGCUGCUAUAAAGGUUGGUACACUUCUAUAGCAUUAAGUGCAAUAGCAGAGGAAUUCCUACUAUAGCGACGGUUAAAGACGAUCAAUGAUUGCUAUAGGUGUGGGUAUCGCUAUAUCGAUGAAAACCGCAAAUUUAUUAAAAUAUUUCUACGAAAUAGUCUAUUUUCCUAAAAUCAUUUUGAAAAAAAAAAAGAAAGGGCGAUUUAGGGUGAAAACCACUAUAAUUUCUUUGUUUGGCUUUGUUAAGGUAAGGAAUUCAUCACUAUUGACUCGUAUUUAAUUACUAAGCCUUAGAAUUAUUAAUUCCCAAAAUUCAAGGAGGGUUUUAGGAAGGAUUUUGGUUAAUUACUGGUGGAAGGGGGAAAAUAAGGAAUAAAUUAAUGAGUUUUGAUUAUUAACAUUUAAUUUACACUUACAUUUCAUUUAAUUACUAAGUUAUCUACGAAAUUUAUAGUUUUAGGUGAAUUACGAUGGAAAAGCCCUAGAACGGGAAGGGAAUGAUCAUGAAAUUGACCUUAGAAAUUGGGUGUGAAUUAUAAAUGUCAAAAUUUUAGGUCAUUUCUUUAAUUAUGUAUUUAUGUGCAUGUUCUAGACCAUGAGCAAGUGGAAAUUGCAUGGAAGAGCAAAGCUCCGUCAUAGAGGAGUUGUACAAGCUUGAUUUGAGGUAGGUAAUGGUAUUGUAGUUUGAACCAAUUUGUGCUAUAUGUGCAUGUUAACUAUUUUGUAGUAUGUCUUGUUUGUGUAUGUUGUUUGGUGUGGUUAUCGCAAAUGAUUUGCAGUUGCUAUAUGAUUUUGACCUACCUUACGUACUAAAUGUGGAAUGUUGCACGGGAUUUUGAUGGAACAAAGUUGACAGACACUUGUAUCUGGGAGUUUAGUACAUGGAUGCUAAUUGUCCCCUAUAGGGCAGGGCUAUAGGGUGGUUGUAUAUCCCUUAGCGUGUAUGUACGAGGGUCAGAUGAGUUUGACAGUUCCAUGAGUGAACUGAAAAUAUAUGUGUGUGUGUCUAUAUAUAUAUAUAUANNNNNNNNNNNNNNNNNNNNNNNNNNNNNNNAUAUUUAUACUUAAUAAAUUGUUGUGACUAGUUUUUGUCUUGGCUUCACUAAACUUGACGUCGUGAUAAUAUAUUGAUUUGCUGAUUUGAUUCUUAAUUGUUCAUUGUUUCUUGUUAUGCUAAGUGUAUGUUUGUUAAACAUGGAUUAACUUGUUGUACUGUAACUUAGUUAUAUGUUUAUAUUCUCAACUUGCAUUGGCCAAAUGACCCUAUUGGUACAUUUUUAUUCUUGUGUGAUGAAACUACAUAUGCAUUUACUUAUAUGAGUGCAACACGCAUUCCAGCGGCUCCUACGAGACCUCACUUGUGAAUUCAGGGGUUGACUCCAUAUUUCAGGGUGAGCAACAUAUCCAGGCUACCAUGGAAUCUUUCCUUUAUGACAUAGUUUUUAUUUUUU
rnacentral:lncRNA from 1 species